rnacentral:lncRNA from 1 species
CGCAUUGGGAUUACUUUAUUAUUACUUCUAUUUAUUAUUACUAAGGUUUGGUAUUUACUUACACUUAGUAACUGCUAAUAAAAUUUUGACCAACUUAUAAAAGCAAUGCUCAGCGUCAACCUUUAUUUUGUUGAUCAACCUUACACUUCACAUGAACUCCCACCUUUGGUGAGUUCAUGCCACAUUAUUCCCCACAACUUGUUGAGCGAUGAACAUGUGUGAGCUCACCCUUGCUGUCUCACACCCCCCAUAGGAGAAGAACAUGUGGUUCAAGAGGAACCACACAACGAGGAGUUUGAUCUGAUCUAGGUGACGUCUCCUAGUUGACUUUAUGGCGCCAAGGAUGGACCUUAGUUUGUUUUAUAUUUAACUUUUAUUUUGUAAGACUUCCGCAAUGUAAUAAGUAUUCUGGUGUUAUUGUGAUAUUUAUCUCUAUACACUCUGUUAUUAUAUAUGUUGUCUUCUUUGGUGUAUGUAUGAGAUGCACCCGGCUUUGUCCCUUAAAUCCGAUUGUGAAAGAAGUGGUACCAAAGGAAUGUUGACUGUAGGACAAAACCUAGAUAGAAAUGGACAAAACCCUUACCUACUUACCUUACUCUGAUUCUUUUCUAAACUUAUCUUAAUCUUUUCUCAUCUAUUUCCCAUUUACUCUGAUUAUUCUUACCUUUUCACUUCUAAAGACAAACGUGGAUUUCACACUUUGAAAUCAUGUGCCUAAAGUGACCUUUAGGAAUAGGAGACCUACUCUUACGAGCAAAAACAAAACUAUUUUAUAGGUAUUUAUACGCUUCAAUGUUUGUUCUUAUGAUACUUGUCUGAUUUGGAUCUUUUAUUGAGUGUGAUGGGUUGUGGAGUAAUGUCCACAAUUGCAUCUGCAUAUACACCUAGACAUAAGGGAAACCAUUUAUAAAAUAGACAACACAGAAUAUUCCUUAUUAAAAAUAUAUCUAGUUUAAUAUAUCCAUUUUAUCUUAAAAGGUUCUCUCUUAUCUUAAUAGAUCCAUCUUAUGUCGAAAAGAUUCUAUCCUAUCUUAAUAGAUCUGACUAAUCUUAAAAGAUUCUACCUUAUUCUUAGAGACUCAUCUUGUCCUAAUAAGCAUACUUAUCUCCACCACUUUGUUUAUCUCAUAAUGAUGUAACAAACAUGAUCUAUUCCAAAAUAAAUUAAGUAGAUCUAUCUAACCUAAACUAGUCCAUUCUAGUUAUACCUGACCUUAUCUAAUCUAUUAUGGUCAAACCUAAUGUGAGUCACUCAAACAUGAUUAGCUAAUGCUGAGGAAACACAUUAGACCCUGCUCCUAUAAACAAGUUUCAGAUCUUAGAUCAACUGACCCUACUCAAUAACUUGACCUACAAAAACAGGUUACAUAACUAAUCCCAUCUAGCAUAUAGCUACCCACUAAACCCUCUACCCAUCUGUUACCUACAGAUUUAUCUUGACCUCUUGUUCCAAACCCGAAUGGUGACACCCAAGCUCAAGAAGGAAGAGAUCAAUCUCCUUAAAGAAGAAUAGGAGUCAGUUAGACCCCAAAGGAAGCUCGAUUAUGCCAUAGUACACUCAUUCUAUGUCAACACUCGCCUAAUAGUUAAAACCUGAUGUACCCUUGUUUUCUAUGCCACACCUGCUAAUGGCAUGAAGAAUUUUAAGUGUAUAAAAAAUAUACUAAUUGGAAGUCCCACUUAAAAAAUAUAUAUACUAGAAUUUCAUAAAGUUCAAGUCAGCUUGAUAGGCUCAACUAAAUUGUAUCCUUAAACAGGAUUAUAUAAUAUGAUGUGAUUUAAUCUAAUAUGAUCUAAUCUAGUGUGAUCUAAUCUAAUGUGGUCUACUUAAACAGAUUAGUGAUACUAGUAGGGGAGAUUAAACCCUACUAGCCAGGUGUUAACUUAACUUAGCACAUUAGACCAACUCAACCAUGAGCAGAAGAGCUAACCCAACCAAUAGAGUCAUGAUGGAUUGCAUAAUCUGUCUAUCCUCACCAAUUAUCAAACAGGAUUUUGACCUACAUCAUGUAGUCUAUCUCAUCCAUAUCUAUCUUAACCACAUUCCCCAACUCAGGUGAUAUACACUAACCCCGAAUCAAUGAGACCAAGACCGAAGAAGAAAAGAUCCACAUCAACAAGGAAGGAUAUAACAGUUAAAGCAAAUCUCAAGAUGAAUCAAGACUUAAACCUUUCAGAUAAAUACUUUUCCUUUCCAUAAUCUUUCUUACCUCAACCCGUCCAGCUUAUAACCUACAUAAUAUGUAGCUGGAUACCUAUGCUCUCCUAAUCACCCACUAUUGACUAUAAAAAAUGGCACUCUGGAUUUUUGAACCAAUUAUAGACUAAAAGAUGAAUUACAAACCAAUACUUAUGUAUCCCUUUCCUUGCAAAUCUCGGGGACGAGAUUUCUGUUAAGGGGGUAGGAUUUGUAAUACCCAAAUAAUGAGAUGAGGAAUAAAAAAUCCAUUUGACCACUUGUGUUGUUAUUCUCAUUUUUGCAUAUAACAAAUCAUGGGAUUAACCCUGACUACCAAUAAAAAAAUACUAAAUAAGAAAGUCGCAUCAUGUUGGGUUUUGUUUGUCUGUGCAUCUAACAAUGAUAACAAUAAUACCAAUAAAAAUAUAACAAUGAGUGGAGGAUUUAAAUUAAAACCUAAAGUUAGAAUUUGAAAAUAAAAUGGAUGAGGAGAAAGAAAUGAGAAAAGAAAGAGUUAAGGAAUAUAAAACUCACAUAAAGUAUAUAUAGAAUCAUAUUUUCAAAAUUUGUACCACACUUGUGCAAUGUAAUCUGAAGACAAAAUUUGUCAAUAUUUGAAUCAUAUUUGAAAUGGAAAUUCGAAUUUGGAAAGGAAGGAACCAGAAAAAAAAGAAAAUGAAAAAGAUGAGGGAAACCUUGUUUGGGUCGUGUUCUCAUUGGCCGGCCCAUUCCAGUGGGGUUCUGCGCGGCCCACAUGGCAUGUGACGCGCGCACGGGUUGGUAUGACGAGUGGGCCCGAGUUGUCGGCUAAUCCAUCACUCUCGGCGCCACUUCCUGGCGGGGCCGCUGCCCAGUUUCCCUUCACGGCGCGCUUAGGCUAAUCAACUGUCGGGUGGGCCCAGGUUACCAGGGGACGUCAACGACCUUCCAAUUAGAGCGCAGCGUGGGUGGACCUGCCGAAUUCCGCGGACUCGCCGUCGAUCUCUGCGGGAAGCCAACCCACGUUACCCCCUCGCCCACCUCUAUAAACCCAGUCGCGGUUGCAUGGGAAAACCCCUUGCGGCCACUGCAUUUAUCUAGCAUCCCUAGAGCACCAAGGAGGAAAGCCGACCGUGGGUGCUGCUGCGCUAGCAACUCAGCGGGAGGGGGAAAGAGAGGCGGGGUUCACUGUUGCACUCAAAGAGUGGGUGCCGUGCGAGCGUGGCCAAUUCCCCACCAGGCAGGGACUUCGCCACCGAACAGAUCACGACGUCGGGACCUCGGGUGAGUAGCCACCUCGGAAUUACUUCCUUUUCUCCAUCCUAUGGCUUUUGCACGGUCCGUGGAGGAUCGGUAUCCCUGAGCGAAGUUUAGGUGUGGACCGUGACUGGUGCACCACCGGAGAACGGCGGUGUCGUGUACUGGUCCGAGCUGUGUGCACGCCGGUUGACCAAUGGGAGAAAGAGAGUACUGGGGAGGGCACGACAUCUAUGCAUGGGCGGUGUGAGGUUGAAGACGCCAGGGCAUCUGUGGAUUAGGAAAUAGACGGUCGAGAUCAGAUGAUAGGAUACCUCUUCGCCAACGCGAUCCGUGUCGUUGGCGUUGGAUCAAAGGGUGGCGAUUAGAUCGCGGGCUCGGUGAAUGUGGAUCGUGGAUCAUGGAUCCAACUACCCAGAACACGUACCGGUUCAAUGUAAUGUGGAUCUAAUCUAGGUCGUAGAAUCGUGAUCGGACGGUCCUGGGCGAGCGAUACCCCUUCGCUGGCUCGUUUUACAUAAGCGCCCCUCAACUUUUAGCGAAUCAACCCGCAGUCCAGUUAUCAGUGCGCUGGGUCUUAGAAAUAAUUGCGCAAAGGCCCCUGCUCUUCCCUGUUUUCGUGUGCCCAGUCCAUAGAUUUAUAAAAUCAGGAAAAUGAAUUAGAAAAUGAGUUUUUAAUAUGAAAAGAAUUUCUAGAAUUUGUAUAAUUCAUAAAAAAAUCAUAUUAGGUCCAAAUUAAUCUAUUCCAGUUUCUAUAAUUUUGUAAUAUUAUUGUUUAUCCCCUAGUGUCUCUGUUUUGACAUGAAAACAGUAAUAAAAUUAUUUCUUAGUUAAUCUUGUAUCAAGUACAUAAAACCUUUGGAAAUUCGUAACUCAAAAUCUAUAACACCAAAUUUAAUGAUUCAUGUUCCUAUGAUCUUAUUUUAAUGUGUAGAUUAUUAUUAUGUAUUUUGUUUACAUGUUUGGUGUGAUGUUAAUUUCUCCUUUAUACUGUACUUGUUUGUAUUGUGGCGAGUAGAAGAGCCUGUGACUGAGGAUCCUGGUGCCCAGCAGAUAGAAGUUGCUGAGCAGGAGCUCAUUAAAGGCAAGUUGUGCCCUUGAUCACUUCCUUUUGACCGAGUCAUAUUCUUAUUAAUCAUAAUGAUAUGCAUAGGUUAAUUUGAUGGGAUCCAAUAGGUUACCCUAGUUUUGGCUAUCUUUAUACCUUGUUUUACCACUGAAUUUUUGGGUAGUAUAUGCUAUUGCUUUAUGUGGUUGUGGGUAUAGAGAUAUACAUUACUCAUGUUUACACUUUUGUUAUCAGUUUAUUAUUUACUGGUCAUGAUAAAAUCAUUAUGUUAAUGGGAACAUGGAGAACCACCCGGAAAAACAGUGCCACCACAAGGGUGGUAUGGGACGCCCUUGGCUGACUAAUUAGGAAAGCUAUUGGAAGACUACCUUACCCGAAAGGGGCAAGGGCAAUAGGGGAGUUGCAUGCAGGGAGGUUCUCGGGUUGAUUUUGCUGCGAUGGCGGUCAGACGAGGGAUUCUUGCAAGUGCUCUUCCCAUAAACUGUAGCGGGUUUUCGGAAGCUAGUGGAACUUUGUAAAGGCCUCGUAGUGGAUCCCUAGCCAUUCACCUCGGUAGUGUCUAAGGGCCUUGCAAACCCUGGCGACAUGGGAUACAUGACUUGUGGGUAUAGGGUACAACCUCUGUAGAGUGUAAAACUGGUAUACUAGCCGUGCUCACGGUCAUGAGCGACUCGGACACUCACAUGAUUAAUUUAUGAAAUUAAAUUCAAUUUGUCAUUUGCAUUGCAUUGGGAUUACUAUAUUAUUACUUCUAUUUAUUAUUACUAAAGUUUGGUAUUUACUUACACUUAGUAACUGCUAAUAAAAUUUUGACCAACUUAUAAAAGCAAUGCUCAGCUUCAACCUUUAUUUUGUUGAUCAGCCUUACACUUCACAUGAACUCCCACCUUUGGUGAGUUCAUGCCACAUUAUUCCCCACAACUUGUUGAGCGAUGAACAUGUGUGAGCUCACCCUUGCUGUCUCACACCCCCCCACAGAAGAAGAACAUGUGGUUCAAGAGGAGCCACACAACGAGGAGUUUGAUCUGAUCUAGGUGGCGUCUCCCAGUUGACUUUAUGGUGCCAAGGAUGGACCUUAGUUCGUUUUAUAUUUAACUUUUAUUUUGUAAGACUUCCGCAAUGUAAUACGUACUCUGUUGUUAUUGUGACAUUUAUCUCUAUACACUCUGUUAUUAUAUAUGUUGUCUUCUUUGGCGCAUGUAUGAGAUGCACCCGACUUUGUCCCUUAAAUCCGGGUGUGACAGAGGUGGAGCUAAG